UCCCUGGUGAUCCAGUGGUUAGGACUUGGCAAUUUCACUGCUAAGGCCCAGGUUCAAUCCCUGAUUGGGGAA
rnacentral:tRNA from 1 species